UCUCCCUUUUUCGAGGAGGCCACCCACCCUCGCUGGGAGCACUGCCUGUCCUCUUCCAGUGCACUGGGCCGGGAGGCCAGCAGGUCAGUGGAAAAAACAAGGGUGGGAUGGAGCAGGGAAGCAAGACAGGGUGGGUGGCCUUGGGUGUGUGGGUGACUCAGUCCCACGCCAGCCGCUGCUGGUGUCAGGUGGCAGCCGCACUCUUGUUGCCAUGGCAACUCCUUCCCGGAACGCAGGGAGGCCCGUCCAACGGGUUUGUUUGUGUUCAGAGGAGCUGAAGGGGAGAGCCCAGGCCGUAGGGGAGGGCAGAGGCCGGCAGGCGGAGUGCAAACCAGGGAGUACUGGUGGCUGCGGGAACCAGUGGAAGGCGGAGGGAACCUGCUUCAGGGAACAGUUUCCAGAGAUACCAUGGUAUACAUGAGGAACCAAGAUGGCACUGGCGUCCUUGGAUCACAGACCCGCACAGGGCCACCGUGGGACUCCGUGGAGUUUGCUGCCCUUGGUCUGCCUGCAAGCAGUGCUCUCUGGUGUGGCUCAGCAUGGUGGUUCUGAGGGCCUGAGUUUUGGUUUUCAAGCAUUUGGGUUCUACAGUUCCCUGGCCUAUAUGCCACGUUCUCUGUGUUUCCUGCUGCUAUGUCCAGAUUCCUAUAGCUUUCUAUUGGAGUUUCUUUCCAUAGA